UCGAUGGCUCAGGAUGAACGCUAGCUACAGGCUUAACACAUGCAAGUCGAGGGGAAACGAUAUUGGAAGCUUGCUUCCGAUAGGCGUCGACCGGCGCACGGGUGAGUAACGCGUAUCCAACCUGCCCAUCACUUGGGGAUAACCUUGCGAAAGUAAGACUAAUACCCAAUGACGUCUCUAGAAGACAUCUGAAAGAGAUUAAAGAUUUAUCGGUGAUGGAUGGGGAUGCGUCUGAUUAGCUUGUUGGCGGGUAACGGCCCACCAAGGCGACGAUCAGUAGGGGUUCUGAGAGGAAGGUCCCCCACAUUGGAACUGAGACACGGUCCAAACUCCUACGGGAGGCAGCAGUGAGGAAUAUUGGUCAAUGGACGAGAGUCUGAACCAGCCAAGUAGCGUGCAGGAUGACGGCCCUAUGGGUUGUAAACUGCUUUUAUAAGGGAAUAAAGUGGGAGUCGUGACUCUUUUUGCAUGUACCUUAUGAAUAAGGACCGGCUAAUUCCGUG
rnacentral:rRNA from 1 species